CAGGCUUAACACAUGCAAGUCGAGGGGCAUCAGGAAGAAAGCUUGCUUUCUUUGCUGGCGACCGGCGCACGGGUGAGUAACACGUAUCCAACCUGCCCUUUACUCGGGGAUAGCCUUUCGAAAGAAAGAUUAAUACCCGAUGGCAUAAUGAUUCCGCAUGGUUUCAUUAUUAAAGGAUUCCGGUAAAGGAUGGGGAUGCGUUCCAUUAGGUUGUUGGUGAGGUAACGGCUCACCAAGCCUUCGAUGGAUAGGGGUUCUGAGAGGAAGGUCCCCCACAUUGGAACUGAGACACGGUCCAAACUCCUACGGGAGGCAGCAGUGAGGAAUAUUGGUCAAUGGGCGCUAGCCUGAACCAGCCAAGUAGCGUGAAGGAUGAAGGCUCUAUGGGUCGUAAACUUCUUUUAUAUAAGAAUAAAGUGCAGUAUGUAUACUGUUUUGUAUGUAUUAUAUGAAUAAGGAUCGGCUAACUCCGUGCCAGCAGCCGCGGUAAUACGGAGGAUCCGAGCGUUAUCCGGAUUUAUUGGGUUUAAAGGGAGCGUAGGUGGACUGGUAAGUCAGUUGUGAAAGUUUGCGGCUCAACCGUAAAAUUGCAGUUGAUACUGUCAGUCUUGAGUACAGUAGAGGUGGGCGGAAUUCGUGGUGUAGCGGUGAAAUGCUUAGAUAUCACGAAGAACUCCGAUUGCGAAGGCAGCUCACUGGACUGCAACUGACACUGAUGCUCGAAAGUGUGGGUAUCAAACAGGAUUAGAUACCCUGGUAGUCCACACAGUAAACGAUGAAUACUCGCUGUUUGCGAUAUACAGUAAGCGGCCAAGCGAAAGCAUUAAGUAUUCCACCUGGGGAGUACGCCGGCAACGGUGAAACUCAAAGGAAUUGACGGGGGCCCGCACAAGCGGAGGAACAUGUGGUUUAAUUCGAUGAUACGCGAGGAACCUUACCCGGGCUUAAAUUGCAGUGGAAUGAUGUGGAAACAUGUCAGUGAGCAAUCACCGCUGUGAAGGUGCUGCAUGGUUGUCGUCAGCUCGUGCCGUGAGGUGUCGGCUUAAGUGCCAUAACGAGCGCAACCCUUAUCUUUAGUUACUAACAGGUUAUGCUGAGGACUCUAGAGAGACUGCCGUCGUAAGAUGUGAGGAAGGUGGGGAUGACGUCAAAUCAGCACGGCCCUUACGUCCGGGGCUACACACGUGUUACAAUGGGGGGUACAGAAGGCAGCUAGCGGGUGACCGUAUGCUAAUCCCAAAAGCCUCUCUCAGUUCGGAUCGAAGUCUGCAACCCGACUUCGUGAAGCUGGAUUCGCUAGUAAUCGCGCAUCAGCCACGGCGCGGUGAAUACGUUCCCGGGCCUUGUACACACCGCCCGUCAAGCCAUGGGAGCCGGGGGUACCUGAAGUACGUAACCGCAAGGAUCGUCCUAGGGUAAAACUGGUGACUGGGGCUAAGUCGUA
rnacentral:rRNA from 1 species